rnacentral:rRNA from 1 species
AGGAUCUGCUCCUAGUACGAGAGGACCAGAGUGGACGAACCUCUGGUGUACCGGUUGUGACGCCAGUCGCAUCGCCGGGUAGCUAUGUUCGGAAGGGAUAACCGCUGAAAGCAUCUAAGCGGGAAGCCUACCUCAAGAUAAGAUUUCCCUAGGACUUUAUGUCCUCUAAAGAGCCGUUCGAGACUAGGACGUUGAUAGGUUGGAUGUGGAAGCAUAGUGAUAUGUGAAGCUGACCAAUACUAAUUGCUCGUGAGGCUUGACUAUACAACACCCAAGCAGUUG